GACGAACGCUGGCGGCGUGCUUAACACAUGCAAGUCGAACGGACGAGUGAGAUAAGUUUACUUAACUCACAAGUUAGUGGCGGACGGGUGAGUAACACGUGGAUAAUCUACCUGCAACACCGGGAUAACGCUGUGAAAACGGUGCUAAUACCGGAUACGUUCCCUUGUGCGCAUGUAUGAGGGAAGAAAGCUCAGGCGGUUGCAGAUGAGUCCGCGGCUGAUUAGCUAGUUGGUGAGGUAAAGGCUCACCAAGGCGAUGAUCAGUAGCCGGCCUGAGAGGGUGAACGGCCACACUGGGACUGAGACACGGCCCAGACUCCUACGGGAGGCAGCAGUGGGGAAUCUUCCGCAAUGGGCGCAAGCCUGACGGAGCAACGCCGCGUGGGUGAAGAAGGCCUUCGGGUUGUAAAGCCUGUCUUAUGGGAAGAAGUCAGUGACGGUACCAUAGGAGGAAGGCCACGGCGUAACUACGUGCCAGAAGCCGCGGUAAAAAAGACGUAACU
rnacentral:rRNA from 1 species